rnacentral:rRNA from 1 species
GACGGAGGUGGCAAACGUUGCUCGGAAUUACUGGGCUUAAAGGGCGUGUAGGCGGUCGGCUAAGUCGGGUGUGAAAUACUCCGGCCCAACCGGGGAAUUGCAUUCGAUACUGGUCGGCUAGAGUGCGAGAGGGGCAAGUGGAACUCCAGGUGUAGCGGUGAAAUGCGUAGAUAUCUGGAGGAACGCCGGUGGCGAAAGCGACUUGCUGGCUCGUAACUGACGCUGAGGCGCGAAAGCCAGGGGAGCAAACGGGAUUAGAAACC